AGCUUUGCGCAGUGGCAGUAUUGUAGUCAAUGAGGUUUAUCCAAGGCAUGAUUAUUGCUAAUUGAAAAAGGGAGCUUGUGGGAGGGUUCCUUCCUGCCUUGGCCAAUGUC
rnacentral:snRNA from 1 species